rnacentral:misc_RNA from 1 species
AAGUCGUAACAAGGUUUCCGUAGGUGAACCUGCGGAAGGAUCAUCACGAGAGGGACGCCGCAAGGCGCACCACAACACUGUGUUGCCGAGCGAUGAGUGCAGUCAGCGAGAGCGCGCAGCGAAAGCGCGCAGCGCGAACGCUGCUGCACACGUCUAUUGACACCAUGCAAACUGAAUCAGCCCUAAUAGCAACCAACAACAAACACAACUGUUAGCAACGGAUCACUUGGUUCUC